AGCCCUUGUAGUAAUCAAAGGUGCAACCUGCCCAAUGGUUUUUAAUUAAAUAAAAAUAAUAUUUUUAUAAAAAAAUUUAAAGGACGCAGUAUCUUGACUGUGGUAAUGUAGCAUAAUCACUCGCCAUUUAAUUGAUGGAUAGUAUGAAUGGUUAAACGAAUAUCACACUGUCUUUAAUAAAAUAUUCAUGAAAUUAAAAUAAUAGUUAAGAUGCUAUUUAAAACUGUAAGACGAAAAGACCCUAUAGAGCUUAACUACAUUUUCUUUUAUAAAAAUGAAGUACAAAAUUUCUAAUGAAGAGAAAAAGGUAGUUUAGUUGGGGCGACUAUCUUCUAUAAGUAACGAAGACAAGCAAUGUUAAUAACAAACUUAUUGUAUAAUACAUAAAUUUAACAAUUAUAAAAAUAGGCUAUAAUGACCCGUUAAGAUUGAGUAAUAAACUUAACGAUCAAUAGAUAAAAGCUACCUUAGGGAUAACAGGAUAAUUUUGUUUUAGAGAUCAAAUCGAAGACAAAGUUUGUCACCUCUAUGUUGAAUUAAGAUAUCCCGAUAGUGCAGAAGCCAUCAAAGGUAGGUCUGUUCGACCUUUAAAAUCUU
rnacentral:rRNA from 1 species